GUGCCGGGUUGCCGCCGUCUCUCCCGUCCACACCCCCCCAACGCUGCCGCCGCCUCUACCGUCCACUCCGGCCCAGGAACAACGGCGGCACGGGCGUGGCCGUCGUCGCUGCCGGCACCCGCCUCUCCGUCGGAUACAGCAUACUCACCCAAGAUUUAUGAAGAGGCGAGAAAAUCAAUGUAUCAAACUGGUAGUGUUCGAAGUUGCAUAUGGAAGAUCUUUGGAACUGGAAAUGUCAUGCUAGCACAAUGGCCAUUCUGAACUGCUGAACUGUAAGUCUGUAACUGAAGCCAGAGCUAACUGGUGCAGUGAACCUUGCAGAUUAUUGAUGGAAAUGAGCUCCUGAAUGAAAGGAUGGACACCGAGAAUCACUACCUGAAGGUAUGCAACUAUUGUUCAAUCAUCUGCUGACUGCUGGCUAUGCAAUACCAAUUCGGGGCUUCUGGCCAUGAAGUUCUGCUGUCUCCUCUGCGGUUCACAUACAAUGGAGCUUCUGGCCAUCUCCUCUGUGCUUUCCACCUCAUUGUUGUCUAUGUCAGAAACCAGAGUCAUGCAGGCUCACUUGCAGACUCGUAGGAAACAAAGAAAAUUCCGGCAAGGAUGGCUAACGCAGCCACUAUUUUUGGUCAUGUUAAAAUUGUAAGCGCCCUUAUGAAAUGCUGUAUUUUCUGCCGGUCGUCUUUCAACGGCCUCCCGGUGUAAGAAAUAAUUGUACAAUCUGUACCAUUGAUGUUACCAACAAGCUACGAUCCAGUCUACUUGAAAUAACCACCUCUUGUACUCC